GUUCGAUUCGAGCGGAGCGAGAAAGCGUUGCCGCAGGCAACGACCCGAAGGGCGAGGCGCAACGCGCCGAGUAAUCCUUCCCCCACCACCA
rnacentral:sRNA from 1 species